rnacentral:lncRNA from 1 species
AUGGUGCAGCUGGAUAUACCAGAGGCUCAUAGAGGGUUAAAUGAUAUGGUGCUGCUGAAUAUGCAGGAGGCUCAUAGGGGGUUAAAUGAUAUGGUGCUGCUGAAUAUGCAGGAGGCUCAUAGGGGGUUAAAUGAUAUGGCGCUGCAGGAUAUACCAGAGGCUCAUAGGGGGUUAAAUGAUAUGGUGCUGCUGAAUAUGCAGGAGGCUCAUAGGGGGUUAAAUGAUAUGGCGCUGCAGGAUAUACCAGAGGCUCAUAGGGGGUUAAAUGAUAUGGCGCUGCAGGAUAUACCAGAGGCUCAUAGGGGGUUAAAUGAUAUGGUGCUGCUGAAUAUGCAGGAGGCUCAUAGGGGGUUAAAUGAUAUGGCGCUGCAGGAUAUACCAGAGGCUCAUAGGGGGUUAAAUGAUAUGGCGCUGCAGGAUAUACCAGAGGCUCAUAGGGGGUUAAAUUAUAUGGCGCUGCUGGAUAUACCAGAGGCUCAUAGGGGGUUAAAUGAUAUGGCGCUGCAGGAUAUACCAGAGGCUCAUAGGGGGUUAAAUGAUAUGGCGCUGCAGGAUAUACCAGAGGCUCAUAGGGGGUUAAAUGAUAUGGCGCUGCAGGAUAUACCAGAGGCUCAUAGGGGGUUAAAUGAUAUGGCGCUGCAGGAUAUACCAGAGGCUCAUAGGGGGUUAAAUGAUAUGGCGCUGCAGGAUAUACCAGAGGCUCAUAGGGGGUUAAAUGAUAUGGCGCUGCAGGAUAUACCAGAUGCUCAUAGGGGGUUAAAUGAUAUGGCGCUGCAGGAUAUACCAGAGGCUCAUAGGGGGUUAAAUGAUAUGGCGCUGCUGAAUAUGCAGGAGGCUCAUAGGGGGUUUAAUUAUAUUGUGCUGCUGAAUAUGCAGGAGGCUCAUAGGGGGUUUAAUUAUAUUGUGCUGCUGAAUAUGCAGGGGGCUCAUAGGGGGUUUAAUUAUAUGAUGCUGCUGGAUUUGCAGGAGGCUCAUAGGGGGUUAAAUGAAAUAGUGCUAAUGGACAUAUAG